CUACGGGUCGCUGCAGUGAGGAAUUUUGCGCAAUGGGGGAAACCCUGACGCAGCAACGCCGCGUGAGUGAAGAAGGCCUUCGGGUCGUAAAGCUCUGUCAGGUGGGAAAAAGGUACUGAGGUUAAGAGCUACAGGGCUUGAUGGUACCACCAGAGGAAGCACCGGCUAACUCCGUGCCAGCAGCCGCGGUAAUACGGAGGUGCGAGCGUGUGUUCGGAAUUACUGGGCGUAAAGGGCGUGUAGGCGGUUUGACAAGUCGAUGUGAAAGCCUGGGGCUCAACCCCAGAAGUGCAUUUGAAACUGUCAAACUAGAGUAUGGGAGAGGAGAGUGGAAUUCCCGGUGUAGAGGUGAAAUUCGUAGAUAUCGGGAGGAACAUCCGUGGCGAAGGCGGCUCUCUGGACCAAUACUGACGCUGAGACGCGAAAGCGUGGGGAGCAAACAGGAUUAGAUACCCGGGUAGUC
rnacentral:rRNA from 1 species